GGAAAGGCUUUGCUGUGUUUCCUCUGCAGAGAAAGUGCCCAGGUAACAGAGAUGACUCAAAAUCAUGUACAUUAGCAGUCAGAUCAGACAAACCAAAGCCUCACGGUGUGCCCACGUCGGAACUCCUUCUCCUAGCAUUUUUCUGGGUCAGCCUGGAUUGAGACACACUGGCCUUUAGAACUUGAAUAAAAUGCCGUUUCACUCAUUGCCAUCUUCGAUAGUUGGUAGAAGGUGAUUGCAGUUCCAAGUGGUGUCACCAUUUUAGUGAGUGCAUUGUGAAGGGAUAAGUAAGCAGAGAUGCAAAACCUCUUCCACUUCUUUUCCAUGAAGCACAGCUUUCAGAAGAAUUGAACUAUAGUAAAUGGCAGAGAGUCUAGCACAAUUAAGUAUUUCUAAACCAGGACUGAAAAUGAAGAAAUGAUCACCAUAGAGGAAACAAAAUCAGAGAGGAUAGGAAACCUGUCCAAAGUCAUAUGGCUGAUAAGAGGCAGAGUGAAGACUGGACCUGAGCAAGUUUGGUGUAGAAGCCUGUGCUCUUAACUGCCAUCCUAGAUUCUUUCUUAAGACUUCUUCUGAGACCUAAGCUUCAUGUUCUGCCUGUGUGAUUCUGUCUUCACGAUUCUCAUGUUCAAUUACCAAUACUCAAUUCUGUCUUCUACUAAGUAUGUACAGCUCUAAAAGACACACCUCAGUAUGGGCAAUGUUCUCUUAAACUGUGAUAUCCAAAGCAACUUGUCUUUGCUAAAUGAGUACACUUAGCUUGUUUGGAAGAAACUGUCAUUUUACUCUCUAAAGCUUACUUCAUAGGA
rnacentral:lncRNA from 1 species